CCUACGGGAGGCAGCAGUGGGGAAUUUUGGACAAUGGGGGCAACCCUGAUCCAGCCAUGCCGCGUGCGUGAAGAAGGCCUUCGGGUUGUAAAGCACUUUCGGCCGGAACGAAAUCGCGCGAUCUAAUAAGUCGCGUGGAUGACGGUACCGGAAGAAGAAGCACCGGCUAACUACGUGCCAGCAGCCGCGGUAAUACGUAGGGUGCGAGCGUUAAUCGGAAUUACUGGGCGUAAAGUGUGCGCAGGUGGCCGCGCAAGUCGAGUGUGAAAUCCCCGAGCUUAACUUGGGAAUUGCGCUCGAAACUACGUGGCUCGAGUGUGGCAGAGGAAGGUGGAAUUCCACGUGUAGCGGUGAAAUGCGUAGAGAUGUGGAGGAACACCGAUGGCGAAGGCAGCCUUCUGGGCCAACACUGACGCUCAUGCACGAAAGCGUGGGGAGCAGACAGGAUUAGAUACCCUGGUAGUCCACGCCCUAAACGAUGAUGACUAGUUGUUGGGGGAGUUAAAUCCCUUAGUAACGCAGCUAACGCGUGAAGUCAUCCGCCUGGGGAGUACGGUCGCAAGAUUAAAACUCAAAGGAAUUGACG
rnacentral:rRNA from 1 species